rnacentral:sRNA from 1 species
AUCCAGAUGGCGCAGUAUCCUAGUCAGAGAGACCGGCUACCAAAACGGGCCUAAAAAUCCGUGAAAGGGCACAUCGAUGAAGUCCCUGGUGCUUGCUUUAUACGCCCAGUGUAGGGUGGGUGCUGGGGGUUAAGGUUUCAGGGCGCCCCGCAAUGGCAUGCGGAUGCCGCCCCUGUUACCGUGGAGACCUGUACCUGUGGGGAAAGAUGCGCGGCUUUGGCUGCCUCUGACCCACGGAUCAGGGUGAACCUGCAAUGCGGUGGCUGUAAAACGCACGCUGUGUGCAGAGUAGCCUGCCUUGCGUGGGUAUGGCGGAUCAAGGGUUCAGAGGCAGGAGCCGUGGCCACGGCCCGCUGCCUCCUUGCCUUGUGAAACCAUGGCUGCAAAAGAGGCUAAGAGCCGGUUUUCCUGUCGCGGAAAACGCCUAGGCUGUUGGCGAGAGCCAGGCAGACGUUGGAUUGCAGUGCGGACUCAGUGGCAAUCGGGUAUCGGGUACCGGCAACGGCCCGGCGCAUGCUUUAAAGGGAAACCGCCAGAUCGGCGACGAAUGGCAGCGUGUGGGGAAAUCCAACCAGACCUCAAGCCGUAAGAUUUACUGCGUCUGCCGCCAUCUUAUCUAC